UUGAACGAUACGAAACUCAACCCAAGGCACAAUAAAAUGGAAAAUUUAACUUCGUAAGGAAAGGCAGAUAAUCCAGCAAUUGCGGCGGGGUACAGAACUUAUAAGGAAUCACAUCGUCAAUUCAACGCAAUGCACACCCUGAAGCCUUCUUAUACGUAGAUAGAAAUGGCUAAUUCAAGAUACGAAUGGUAUCCCUACUUUGUAUCACCUAUAAAGACGUUCCAAUACUAAAUGUAUUAAUAGAAAUUUAAUCGCAUUGAAUAAAAUUCGAUUCGACACUACCGGGACCACAUAAA